rnacentral:rRNA from 1 species
CCUACGGGGGGCAGCAGUGAGGAAUAUUGGUCAAUGGGCGAGAGCCUGAACCAGCCAAGUCGCGUGAAGGAUGACGGCCCUACGGGUUGUAAACUUCUUUUGUCAGGGAGCAAUUGGGUCCACGCGUGGGCUUAGCGAGAGUACCUGAAGAAAAAGCAUCGGCUAACCCGGUGCCAGCAGCCGCGGUAAUACGGGGGAUGCGAGUGUUAUCCGGAUUUAUGGGGUUAAAGGGGUGCGUAGGGGGAAUAAAAAGUCAGCGGUAAAAAUUCGGGGCACAACCCUGCCGUGCCAUUGAAACUGAUGUUCUUGAUUGGGGACGAAGUAGGCGGAAUGCGUGGUGUAGCGGUGAAAUGCAUAGAUAUCACGCAGAACUCCGAUUGCGAAGGCAGCAUACGGGCGCCCAAUUGACGCGGAAGCACGAAAGCGUGGGUAUCGAACAGGAUUAGAUACCCCAGUAGUC